rnacentral:lncRNA from 1 species
UGUUUGACCAUUAAAGAUACUUCUCAUUUAUGGACUGUGGUUAAAUAAUUUGCUAGUGUUGUAGUACUUGGAAGGAACUAUGUCAUUAUGUUGAUGUGGAACCGCCUUGACUCGCAUUAGUAAGUUGUUUAAUUAUGGUAUUAUGAUGACCCAACUGACUGUGGAUUAGAAUGAUGCGCGCCUAAUGUUUAUAUCAUUCUAACCAAAGUAUGGUCAUAUGGGCCAAGUGGGAGAAUGUUGGGUUUUGACCCACAU